rnacentral:rRNA from 1 species
GUCUGUGGCCAUGCUGCCCUGAACAAGCCUGAUGUCUGAUCUUGGAAGCUAAGCAGGGUCGGGCCUGGUUAGUACUUGGAUGGGAGACCACCUCGGAAGACCAGGUGCUAUAGGCA